UCCCUGGCGGCUCAGUGGUGAAGAAUCUGCCUGUCAGCGCAGGAGACUCAGGUUCGAUCCCUGAUCUGGGAA
rnacentral:tRNA from 1 species